AUCCAUCCAUCCAUCCAUCCAUCCAUCCAUCCACCAAUUGACAUGUUGACCUCAUUCUGACCUCCUUUACCAGUGGAUUCAAGGAGGAAUUGACGAGAGACGGGGAAUCACACAUGCUUAUUUGUGAUGAAUUUUGAGGUGGGAGGGAGGGAUACAAAUGAGUGUGGAGAGACUCUCAGCAGGGAUCACAAGUGGUCCACUGUUCCCCGACAGCACCUGCCUCACCGCCUCCCUCCUCUUCAUAUCCCUGCAACAGAAAGCCUCUCAAAGCCACACCAUGGGGGGACUCAAAGAAAGGGGGACGGUUGUUUGGGUGUCUGUGCAUGUACGCAUGCAAAAGCAAAUACAAGGGUGUUACAUCACAAAGAGAGUCUUUGACUGUCCAAGUAGGUAGGUUCCCACCAGAAAAAGCAAAAAAAUCUGUUAGUUAAACUAGCACUUUUAAUCUUUAGAAAUUAAAUUAUACCUUACCUACCUUACUUUUUCACCCAUGUGCUAAAUCCAGGUAUUUGAGGAUUUGGCACGUCCUAAAUGCUAACCUAUGGUCAAGCAUGCCGUUUGCUGUAGAUUCAAGGCAAGUUCCCAAAAUGUGUUGGUGAGUCUGCCUUUCAGAUGGCAGCUAUGGUUCUCUCCUUCUGAAUCAAUGCUGUAACAAAACUCGACCUUGUGAGAUUCAAGUGGUUUUCUUUGUUAAAUCAAGAGCUUCUUCACUUCACGCCCUGCUUUAAAUGAGAACUGGUAAAACGUAAAUUUGUUAUUGACUGUCCUAUUGUUACCAGAAAAUCAAUGCAAGGAGACAAAGAGGGGUUUCUGAAAGGCAGUUUUUCUGCAGGGAUUAAUUCCCCCUCAUCACUCAGUGGCAAGCUGUGUUUUUACAAGUGGCCUUUGUGGUGUAAUUGGCUUGUUGAUUGGACGGCAUUAGUAAAAGUCACUGCUGUCCAGGGAUGCAUGAUUCAUAAGGAUCCCUGUAUUUGAGCUGUGAGUGCAGUUAAAGCAGAUGUGUACUGCUGGUUUAUUUUAUGAAAAUAGGUUCUGAGUUUAAUGGUACUCUCAGUAAUUGUGAAAUCCCAGCCUGAACAGUAGGGAUUUCACAGAAGAAAAGCAAAGUCAAAGACGUAAAUCUGUAACUGAAAGCAAGAUGGCACAUCCAUUGGUUUUCCAAGGAUAUGUGGUUGCAUUAACACAUAUCCUUGGUAAUAUGUGGUUGUAUUAAGCCACAUACAACUACAAUUAGCUUUAAAAGCAACAACUCCAUGCAUACGUUUGGAUUUAUUACAAACUUUGUCUAAUCCAUAAAGGGAGUGGAUCAAACACUAUCCUCACUAAUGUCUGAUUUAAUUUCUGUUAGCGAGUCGCAUCUCAAUACAGGAUUCUUGUUGCCAUCAACAAGCUUCUGGUGUAAAUCUUUCUGGUUUUAUUUGAGGCCCCUGGUUGUUUUAGGGAGUCACUGACCCAACAUUGAAGCAUACUCCACAAAUUAUAUGUAAAGGUUGGGAUUUUUCUAAAAGUAUUUCUAAAGAUUUGUUAUUUGUUAUGCUUAUUUGGGAUUAUUUUCCACAAUUUUGAGGCAAUAUUCCUUUAUUACUUUGUUCACUUUCUGUUGCCACCAAGUCUGAUAGUUGUUAGUGUUUUAUGAUAAAUAUUCACUUUAACAAACGUUCUUGUAACUGUGGCCAGAAACCACAAGCUUUCUCUCUUUUGACCAACAGACAUUUUUCCAGAGGGUAUUUGGCUUCUCCCUUUGGGCAGCUCCAUCUUUCUGGGUCUUCCAGUCUUUGUCUUUGCCCAAGUUGUAACCUAGUGAGCGUAAUUGUGGAACUUAAUGUUCCAGCAAUGUCCAGUACAGUUUUGAUUGAGCCUUGGUGAUUCCAGGGUUCCUUCUGGACAUCUGAAUCUCUUUCUCUGAUUGUGACAGUUUGGUCAGUUAAAACUUGGACGACAAGUCAAUGAUCUCAAACACAAAAAUAACCGGUUUGUGGAGUGGCUACAGCUUAUAAAAUCGACUUGAUAUCCAAGCUUGUUUUGAUCUUUUACCAAACCUUAGCAAAGCGGUUCAGUGUUUCGGCUGUUUGAACUGAUAAUCUUACAACCUGCAGCUGUUUAGACUUUCUUUCAAAAGACUUUAAAACCUGUGUAAAUCUCAUUGUGUCUCUUUGGAUCCUGACUUCCUUGGACUCUUGACUUCUGAGAAUUUCAUGAAUACAAAGAAAUCACAUGUUAUGAUGGCAAAAGGGAAACCACUAGCUCAAUCAUAACUCCUUGGUUUUGUCAGCUUUAAACAAACUAUAACCUUCAUUAGCACCUGUAAGCAUUUAGAUAACUUCAUAUUUUAACCUAUAUAUAUUAUUUUGUAGGGAUUAAACACUAGAAUCGUGUCUUUAUAAACAUCAGAAUCCAUUGGUGGUCUCAGAAACUCCUUCCAGAUCUGAAGGGGUCUGAGCAAUUAGACCCUAUCAAUCCUGGACUCACUCACUUUGAAGAGGCAGUUGCUGAUGCCAAGUGUUUACAUUAUCUAAAGAAAAUGUCCAACAGGUUUUUGUCUCUUAAACAGUUCGGCUUUGUUUUGUAGACCUAGAAAAUACAAGCCAGGCUAAUAAUAGGAAGUAUUUUAAAUCCUAUUGAGGAUGUGAAAGUUCUGCACACACAUAAAAAGAAAAAUCAAAGAAUCAAAAAUUUUUUUUUUAUGGCCAGAUAUUGAUAAGAGAAGUUGUAAACAUGUCAGCUCUUGCUUGAAAAGGCUUUAUUAAAAAAGAAGACAGUCAAAAAGACUAAAACAUUUAUUUUGAAAAUGAAAUGUGGACUGUCAGGAAGAUGACAAGCACAGAUGGAACUAAUAACAUUAAUUACAGGCCAGUUCCAUUAAAAAGUCUAAUUAGGCCACAUGAGUAAGAUGGAAUAAAUGGUUUGGAAGCAGAUUUGACCAAAAACAUCCAUUUCACACCAUGGAGACUGGCAGAUGGAUACAGAGACGUAGCAACAUUUUCUACAUUAUUAUCUGAUGGAAAAUGAACAGAAACAGUAACAGAAAUGAGGUGACGUUAAAUUAUAGAUAAACUAACUGAAUUUAUUUGCAGUGCACUGUUGAAGAUCAUGUAUUGUUUGCAACAUUAAAACAUUGAAAGUGAAACUGUUUGUACCUUUUGGCAUCAUAUUGGUAAGUAUAUAAAUAUAUCAGCUCUAGAAAUGUACAUAUGCUAUG